rnacentral:rRNA from 1 species
GACGAACGCUGGCGGCGUGCUUAACACAUGCAAGUCGAGCGGUAAGGCCUCUUCGGGGGUACACGAGCGGCGAACGGGUGAGUAACACGUGGGUGACCUGCCCUCAGCUCUGGGAUAAGCCUGGGAAACUGGGUCUAAUACCGGAUAUGACCUUUCCUCGCAUGGGGUUUGGUGGAAAGUUUUUUCGGCUGGGGGUGGGCCCGCGGCCUAUCAGCUUGUUGGUGGGGUGAUGGCCUACCAAGGCGACGACGGGUAGCCGGCCUGAGAGGGCGACCGGCCACACUGGGACUGAGACACGGCCCAGACUCCUACGGGAGGCAGCAGUGGGGAAUAUUGCGCAAUGGGCGGAAGCCUGACGCAGCGACGCCGCGUGAGGGAUGACGGCCUUCGGGUUGUAAACCUCUUUCGACCCCGACGAAUUUGGACGGUAGGGGUAGAAGAAGCACCGGCCAACUACGUG